rnacentral:ncRNA from 1 species
CAAUAGCCAUAUAGGUUAUUAAACUAUCAUAUGGGGUAGAGUACUCAUUGAGCUAGGGGGUGUAAAAACUUACUAAAUUUUUAGAAACUCCGAAUACAAAAAAAGUAAUUUAAAUAGACAGAUAUUAGGCGCUAAGGUCUAUUGUCAAGAGGGAAACAGCCCAGAUUGAUCGCUAAGGUCUCUAAUAAUAUUCUAAGUGAAAAAGGAAGUGAAAAAAUUAUUACAACCAGUAGGUAGGCUUGGAAGCAGCCAGCCAUCCAUCUUCUCACAAUGCUGUUUACUCCUUUCCGAGGAGCUCUACGAGCGCGAAAACCUUUCAGUUCAAUAUACCGUAUGCUGUUCAAAAUGACCGGGUUUUAG